GCUAGAUUGGCAGAUUUUAGUGCAAUAAAUUUAGAAUUUAUAAAAAUGAUUAAUUCAUAUCUAGUA